GACAGCUCAGCUCACUGCAGGCUCGACCUUCCUGUCUCAGGUGAUCCUCCCACCUCAGCCUCCUGAGUAGCUGGGACUACAGGUUGAAGUUUAUGUCUGGAUAAAUUAACUCCCCACUAUUUCUGGCCUACCUGGAUAUGGGCAGCACAUGCUCUUCAGGCAGAGGAAGUCCAGAGUCAAAGAGACACAAAUGCUUGAGUUUCAACAAUGUCCUUGGAGAGGGCCGGAAAAGGGCAAGAGGAAUUGGAAGCCACAUGGUAUCUGACAAGGCUUGUUCAUUAUCACAGCUUCUCCUCCUCUGUUGUGCUGUGUCAACCACCAAGUUGUGCCAGCCGAGAAUUGUGGUCUCAGGUCUCCAUCCAGAUCUUUGAUUGUGUGGCCACAUGGAUUCAGGCAGCUGAACACGAGCAUGGAGGCACAGGCUUUCCCUCUAAGGGUCUCAGGAAGACCACCAAACAUCAGAGGAAACCGAGGCUGAGGUCUACAUGCAACAGUCUUUGAAGAGCACGAGAACACACUGAGACCAGCAGAAAGGUAUAUAAAGUUUGUUAAGUUGAGAAACUCAGAUAAUCUGUCCGGCUGUGCCUAGCUCCUCUGGAUUUAAGGGACCUUCUUUUUCAUGGAAAGGAGUUUUUCUGGAGAUCAGCCUCUGAAGGUGGAGCCAAGGCCAUGAUCACAGGUCUCCUGUGUGAGAAGUCAUUUCCUGAUGCUCCCGGCAUUCUUCCAGAAACCCCUCUUUCCACUUUCUAAUGCUGCCAUAAUUACCUAUAGGUAACAAAAUAUUUUCUGCCCGUUCUUACUAGAAAAAUGUGUGAAGAGAGGGUAGAUAGGUUCUAACCCUUGGUCUAUGAUGUAGGCCGUUCUUGCAUUGCUAUAAAGAAAUACCUGAGACUGGGUAAUUUAUAAAGAAAAGAGGCUUAAUUGGCCAUGAUUCUGCAGGCUGUACAGGAAGCAUGGUGCUGGCAUCUACUCAGCUUUGGGAGGCCUCAAGGAGCUUUCACUCAUGGCAGAGGGUGAAGCGGGAGCUUGCCUGUCACAUGGUGAAAGCAGGAGCAAGAAAGAGAGGAGGGAGCUGCCACAUGUGUUUAAACAACCAGCUCUUGUGCGAACUCACUAUCAUGAGGACAGCAUCAAGCCAUGAGGGAUCCACCCCCAUGACCCAAACACCUCCCACUAGGCCCCAACUCUAAUAUUGGGGAUUACAUUUCCACAUGGGAUUUGGAGGGGAUAAAUGUCCAAACUAUAUCUGUCCAUUUGUAAACUACAUGAAAUUUAGUCUAUUGACUUUAUAGUGUCUCUUUGUCUUUCUGUAUUGCUUGGUUCUUGACUAUUUGUGGGGAUAGUUGAUGUCAUAAAACAAAUGAGUUAUCACAGUCUCUGGAACUGUUAUUGAAAUGAUUUUUGCCAGUAUUUUUCUAGGAAUAUAUGUCAAGUUUUUAUGCUUUCAUUUUAAAGACAUUUUCUUUGUUUUCUAAAGAUAAAUAUUACUUAACACUAUCAGCAACUUCAUUUUCCACUUCACUUCUUUAGGAGUUUUAAAAAAACACUGAUUAGUGGCACUAAAAUAGUUAUAUUAAAUGCUCUGAAAUGUAGCUCACCAGAGAAUGUAGAUGAAUAAUAUUUUUCUUAGUAAAAUAUGCUGUUUAAACUCCUCUUCCUCUCUCAUUUUUCUUAAUCCUUCUCUUUCCAUUUCCUCUCUAUUAGUAAUUGGACUCAUUAGACUCAGCUACCUCCUUCUCUUCUGUUCUUUAUCUGGUAUUUAGUUAACACUAUAUUCUAGGUGCUCACUGUAGGAACUUAUACUCUAGAAGGGAGGGCAAUGUACAGAAAUUCCAUAAUAAAACAGAAUAUGUGCUUAAAUGCUAUAAGAGUUAUAAAAUGUAUUAGGAGAGAUUCUUCAUUAAGGAGAGAUGAUUCUUGAUCGAGUGAUCAUAAUGGUGAUUAAUUAGCAGAGAACAAGUUUUUAGAAAUGUACACUCUAUGUAAAUUUGUUUACGUUUUUCUAGAUUCUGGAUAUUAGUCCUUUGUCAGAUGGAUAGAUUGCAAAAAUUUUCUCCCAUUCUGUAGGUUGUCUGUUCAUUCUGAUGACAGUUUCUUUUGCUGUGCAGAAGCUCUUUAGUUUAAUUAGAUCCCAUUUAUCAAUUUUGGCUUUUGUUGCCAUUGCUUUUGGUGUGUUAGUCAUGAAGUCUUUGCCCAUGCUUAUGUCCUGAAUGGUAUUGCCUAAGUUUUCUUCUGGGGUUUUUAUGGUUUUCAAUUUUACAUUUAAGUCUUUAAUCCAUCUUGAGUUAAUUUUUAUAUAAGGUGUAAGGAAGGGAUGCAGUUUCAGUUUUGUGCAUAUGGCUACCUAGUUUUCCCCAUUAAAAAGGGGGCAAAGGAUAUGAACAGACACUUCUCAAAAGAAGACAUUUAUGUGGCCAACAAACAUAUGAAAGAAAACUCAUCAUCACUGGCCAUUAGAGAAAUGAAAAUCAAAACCACAAUGAGAUACCAUCUCAUGACAGUUAAAAUGGCAAUCAUUAAAAAGUCAGGAAACAACAGAUGCUGGAGAGGAUGUGGAGAAAUAGGAACGCUUUUACACUGUUGGUGCAGAAUGUAAAUUAGUUCAACCAUUGU
rnacentral:lncRNA from 1 species